CAACACAAAAAAGCUAGAAAAGAUAUUAAAUGCUUUUGUUUUGAUGAGGUUAUUGAUUCCGACUUGACAAAUUAUGAGGACAUGGUUGAAUCAGUCGUAGAGCAGUACACACCUCGUUAUUUGGAAGUUGCACAUAUUCAGUACUAUGAUGAUUUUCUGAAAAUCUACCCAGAAGUAACAACUGACCAAGAAUUGGUGUCUAUGUUUGAGAAACACUCUAAGACAAAGGUUGUGCACAUGUUUAUUGCAUAUUGUGAUCCAUCUGAACAAUAUGUGCCUAUCACGGAGUGGCAUGAUGAUGUGCAUAGCCAACCUAACAACACAGAACAAGAUGAUGAUGAUGAUGAUGGUUAUCUUCGCAACCCAAUACCUGAGAAUGAGUAUGUUGGUGUUGAUGAGGAAAAUAUUUAUUUAGAGGAUGAACAUGUACCUCUUAUCAUGGUUCCUUGUUCCGAUAAAGAAAAGGACAAAGACUAUGUUCCUGAUCAUGAGAGUGAGGAUGAGAGUGAGGAUGAGAGCAUGUCAGAGGUUGAAGUAGAGGAAGAUGAGGAAUAUCACGAGGCAGAUCAUGUACCACACUUUGAAUAUGAUAAAGUACAUCCUCCAAUGAACGAAGGAAGAAAAUAUCCCAAUAUGGCAGAGUUUAAAUUGGCGCUUUCUCAGCAUGCAAUCAAACAUAAAUUUGAGUUUGACACCGAAAAGAGUGCACCACAUAGGUUUAGAGCUUAUUGUUCAAUAAGGGAUGAAGAUAAGUGUCCAUGGAGGAUAUAUGCUUCUACAAUGGAAGAUGAGUGCACCGUAAUGGUAAUUUUCUAA
rnacentral:rRNA from 1 species